rnacentral:rRNA from 1 species
UACGGGGGGAGCAAGCGUUGUUCGGAUUUACUGGGCGUAAAGGGCGCGUAGGCGGUCAGCACAAGUCAGUUGUGAAAUCUCCGGGCUUAACUCGGAAAGGUCAACUGAUACUGUGCGACUAGAGUGCGGAAGGGGCAACUGGAAUUCUCGGUGUAGCGGUGAAAUGCGUAGAUAUCGGGAGGAAUACCGGUGGCGAAAGCGACUCUCUGGACGGCAACUGACGCUGAGGCACGAAAGCGUGGGGAGCAAACAGG